rnacentral:rRNA from 1 species
AGAGUUUGAUCMUGGCUCAGAUUGAACGCUGGCGGAAUGCUUUACACAUGCAAGUCGAACGGCAGCACGGGUGCUUGCACCUGGUGGCGAGUGGCGAACGGGUGAGUAAUAUAUCGGAACAUAUCCUAUCGUGGGGGAUAACUAGUCGAAAGACUAGCUAAUACCGCAUACGUCCUGAGGGAGAAAGCGGGGGAUCGCAAGACCUCGCGCGAUUGGAGUGGCCGAUAUCUGAUUAGCUAGAUGGUGAGGUAAAGGCUCACCAUGGCGACGAUCAGUAGCUGGUCUGAGAGGAUGAUCAGCCACACUGGGACUGAGACACGGCCCAGACUCCUACGGGAGGCAGCAGUGGGGAAUUUUGGACAAUGGGCGAAAGCCUGAUCCAGCCAUUCCGCGUGAGUGAAGAAGGCCUUCGGGUUGUAAACCUCUUUCAGCAGGGAAGAAGCGCAAGUGACGGUACCUGCAGAAGAAGCACCGGCUAACUACGUGCCAGCAGCCGCGGUAAUA